rnacentral:pre_miRNA from 1 species
UGGUGGAUUACAGGGACAUGUCUCCUUGGGCAGAGUGAUUGCACUUCACUUAAAAAUAAUCUGCUCUGCUAGCUUUUUCGCUCUGCCAAAGGAGAUUUGCCCAGCAAUCCAUAU